GAGUUUGAUCCUGGCUCAGGAUGAACGCUGGCGGCGUGCCUAACACAUGCAAGUCGAACGGACUUUUCAUGAAGCCUAGCGAUUGAAAAGUUAGUGGCGGACGGGUGAGUAACGCGUGGGUAACCUGCCUUGUACUGGGGGACAACAGUUGGAAACGACUGCUAAUACCGCAUAAGCGCACAGCUUCGCAUGAAGCAGUGUGAAAAACUCCGGUGGUACAAGAUGGACCCGCGUCUGAUUAGCUGGUUGGUGAGGUAACGGCCCACCAAGGCAACGAUCAGUAGCCGGCCUGAGAGGGUGAACGGCCACAUUGGGACUGAGACACGGCCCAAACUCCUACGGGAGGCAGCAGUGGGGAAUAUUGCACAAUGGGGGAAACCCUGAUGCAGCAACGCCGCGUGAGUGAAGAAGUAUUUCGGUAUGUAAAGCUCUAUCAGCAGGAAAGAAAAUGACGGUACCUGACUAAGAAGCCCCGGCUAACUACGUGCCAGCAGCCGCGGUAAUUC
rnacentral:rRNA from 1 species